rnacentral:lncRNA from 1 species
CAGUAUUUGGAGCAUCCUUUUUAAUUUCAAUAUUGAAAUGGCAGUUCGUUGACAUUGUACGAUGGAAUUUUACAGGAAAACUGCACCCUCAUUUUCCAGGAGAAGUUAUCGAAUUCUGGAGAUGUUCAUGGUCGAUGAUCCAUCAGCACAUGAUAAAAGGUAAAUCUCGAUAUAAUACUCUUCCUCCUGAUAAUUUUGCAGCAUCAGUUGGCCAAAACUUUGCUUAAGUGCAGCACAUAUCUUAAGGUGUGACAAGAAAAGUAGUCUAAUCUAAUCUGGACAUAAGCAAUAUUGCCAAUUAAAACACACAUGCUUCAGAUCAUGUCUUGAAAAUGAUAAGCCUCCAGCUUUUUCCUACAAAGUCCGCCUGCUGGGAUCUGCCAGCCUGUGUUCCAACAAUUGUGUGUCUUCUGAUGUGGAUUUAGAGAUAAAAAAAAAAAGAUAGAAGAAUAUGAAUUUAUAUGAGAUUUGUGCCACUCAUCAAGUCCAAAUCCAAUUCUUCCUUAAAGCUAUGGCAUUGCUUAUCAAACACCAUGGAUACAAGGAAACAUUUUGAUGAUAGAGCAGAAAAAUGUGUAUGCAAUGGCCUUCAUGAUUCAGAUUUCAGAACACUGUGUCCUACAGUACCUAUAUCUCAAAGCUGUCAUGUGUGGAUGAUAAUUCAUUAACAAAGAGGAUAAAUAUAUAAAAGAGCAAAUAUGCCGAGACAAAGAUAAAUAAAUCAUGAAUUUUCACAAGUUACUAGCAAUUUUUAUUUUAGUACUAUUCCUGCUGACGGUCUCGAUGUGCAGCAUCAACCGGCUAAACAAAUUUCAAAUAGUAUCUCUUGCAAUUUAUAUAUUUCUUGAAAUUACGAGGAAUUUAGGAGAUAAAAUAAGUCGUUUGAUCAUAAAGGCCAGUUCUGCAGAUUAAUUUACUUAAUUCGUGGCUGAACACAUCUUCUAAAGCUUUCCAGAAAUUCUUUCUUAGGUGAUUGUCUGACCUAUGACCAGAAAACUGAUGCAGGAAUUGUCAUGUAUGAGCAUCAUCCGGAUAACUUUGCAUUUUUUGUGUGAACUUCCUAUGAGUGCCAAAUAUAUCAGUCAUUUUAAUCAGCAUGAGACUCCUAGAAAGUCAUGAAUUAACCAGGAAAAAAGAGGUUUGACAUAUCACGAGACAGUUCCUCGACGGGACAGGUAUAGUAAUUAAUCAUCCAUCUUCUUUCCUCUUCAUAAGAAGUUAGCCAACACAUUGUUUGAAUUCUCUUUGGUCUAGGGCAUAACACACCGAUACCCGUUUCCACUAGAGCGUUCACAAGAUGACACUUUUUAAGAUAUAUUUAUAAUCAUCCACUUAAUGGAUGCAUAUAACUAUAUGUAUAUGAUAAGUUGGCUGCAGUGUCUUUUCCAUUUGUACUAGAGAAUAUAUUCACAUUAAGGAGAGACAAAGUUUGGAGCUUUAUCAUUCGAACCGUCCAGAGAUGCCUUCAAAACGAAAAGUACAGCUUUUGAUUUCGAAAGAAGCAUUUCAAGGCAUAAUGGAGAAGAGAACAGAUGCACAACAAUAACACCCUAAUUGUAAGUACCAUCUAAGCAAGCUCCAGGAAGUGUUUUAGUUAUUUUACCAGAAAUAAUGCCUGAAGAAUCUAACUGUACAUAUCAUCAUUAAGCAAAAGCCUCCUGUGACCCCAUCACGCUUGAGAACUAUAAAGAACAGCACACACUUACACAACAGCCUCUAAAAAGCUAGAUUCAAAAGGAACUGUUUUUUGCCCACGGGCAAUCUUAUCAAGAUGAAACGCGAUAUGCUAUAAGCGUUUUGAGGAAACACGCCAUUCCACCAUGUCCGAAACCCAGCAGAAACAUGUGUUGCGACCUAGAUCUUCCUGUUUCGCCUAAGAAAAAAUCGACUCAUGAACCCAAAAGAACGCUUUUACGGCUUCUAGAAAUGGGACCUUAAAUGCAUAAAACAAUGCUAAUGAUGCAAAGUCACCUGUAGUUGCAUUAAGCGCGUACUACAUAGCUUGCAUAGCCGUGACCAAAUAUCUUCCCCCCUUUUCCGAUUUAUCAGAAUUGUAAGUCAGAUCGCCGCAUGCCUCUCCUCCGCUGAACCAAAAAACCAAGAAAAUAUAUAUAAAGUUUGCUUUUUUAUGUCAUUAAACGAGCUCAAACUAGAAAAAAAGAACGGUAUCGAGAGAGAGAGAGAGAGAGAGAGGGUACCGCUUGAACUUGAGAACUUGACCGAAGCAUGGCUCGAUGCAUGGCUGGGGG